CCUACGGGUGGCUGCAGUGAGGAAUAUUGGUCAAUGGGCGGAAGCCUGAACCAGCCAAGUCGCGUGCAGAUGACGGCCCUACGGGUUGUAAACUGCUUUUAUACGGGAAUAACGCGCCUUACGUGUACGGCUUUGCAUGUACCGUAUGAAUAAGGACCGGCUAAUUCCGAGCCAGCAGCCGCGGUAAUACGGGGGGUCCGGGCGUUAUCCGGAUUGAUUGGGUUUAAAGGGUGCGUAGGCCGCAUGUCAAGCGUGCUGUGAAAUGUCCGGGCUCAACCCGGGCCAUGGAGCGGGAACUGGCGAGCUUGAGUCCGCGGAAGGCAGGCGGAAUUCGUCGUGUAGCGGUGAAAUGCUUAGAUAUGACGAAGAACACCGAUUGCGAAGGCAGCUUGCUGGAGCGGAACUGACGCUGAUGCUCGAAAGCGCGGGUAUCGAACAGGAUUAGAUACCCCAGUAGUC
rnacentral:rRNA from 1 species